rnacentral:rRNA from 1 species
UACGAAGGGGGCUAGCGUUGUUCGGAAUUACUGGGCGUAAAGCGCACGUAGGCGGGUUGUUAAGUCAGGGGUGAAAUCCUGGAGCUCAACUCCAGAACUGCCUUUGAUACUGGCAACCUAGAGACUGGAAGAGGUUAGUGGAAUUCCCAGUGUAGAGGUGAAAUUCGUAGAUAUUGGGAAGAACACCAGUGGCGAAGGCGGCUAACUGGUCCAGCACUGACGCUGAGGUGCGAAAGCGUGGGAGCAAACGGG